CUCAGUGCAGUGGGUAGGGAGCGAAGUGGGGGUCUGUACUCGCCCACCUGGGAUUGACAACAGAGUCCCUGGGACCGACCAGCUGAUCCCCAGCCUCCCUUCCUCUGUGUUGACACUUGGCCUUCGUGCAGGCCCUGCCACCGCCAUCGGCCGACCCAUCCCCCAUCCUCAUCCCUUGCGCUCUCACCCUCUUCUCUCUCUUCAGCUCGGCGUGGGCCAUUUACUGGGCGGAAUUUCUUGAGGGCUCUGUACCUCGGAAGUCUGCUAGACUUCUUUUGUCCGCGGGGCAAGUGCCUAGGGCCCAUCUUAACAUUUAAUUGGGUACUCAAUCUUAAGGCACAGGCUUUUGUUUUAAAGCCCUUUAAAACUUUACAGUGAGAGGCAAGAUAUAAGUUAAGUAUGUUUUGAUUGCUUUAUUAGGAGAGAUCAUUUGUUCCCUACUUACCACCAGUGUUUACUCGGGAAUGAUACAUACUCUGUAGGGAGUUUUAUACGUUAUGGAGCAUGUCACUUCCAUUUUCAUUGGAUUUCACAUAAACUCUGAAAUACACGAGCAUGUAAUCAUCCCAUUUUGUAAGGAACAGGUUUAGAGGGUGAGUUUCUUCUUGAGGUGAGAUGGGGAGCGCAGGGGUUAAAAAGUGGGUUUGGCUGACUUAGAUUUGCCUGUCUGAGCUGCUGUCUAAACUCUGGGAUCUUUCUAAACCUUUCCCCCCAUUUUUUUUGUGAAAAAAGGGUAUUGCUACUUCUGCACAAUGUGGUUGUGAAAAUUAUGUGUGUUAAAGAUAAUGUUUGCAGGGCACCUAACAUAAAAAUUAAUUCCAUUCAGCAGUAUUUAUGGGUGCCUACUGUGUGGUGAGAAUUCAUUGGUGAGCAAAACAGACAUGGCGUUUAUCCACGCACUCCCCGCCUCCCCUUCCCAAAGAGGGAGAGACAGGUUCACCAACAGGAUUAUUCUGCGGCCAUCAUGUCCUGGUUUGCUGAUCUUGCUGGAAAGGCAGAAGAUCUUUUAAACAGAGUUGAUCAAGGGGCUGCAACAGCUCUCAGUAGAAAAGAGAACACCAGCAGCAUCGUUUAUAGCAAAAAUACUGACCAUCCUGAACUUCACCAGCAAAAUACAGAUUUGACUUAUCAGACAGGACCUAAAGCUACUUACAUUUCCUCAGCAGCUGAUAAUAUUAGGAAUCAAAAAGCCACCAUCUUAGCUGGGACUGCAAAUGUGAAACUAGGAUCUAGGACAUCGGUGGAGGCCUCCCAUCCUGUUGAAAAUGCAUCUGUUCCUAGGCCUUCAUCCCAGUUUGUUCGAAGAAAAAAGUCAGAACCUGAUGAUGAGCUGCUGUUUGAUUUUCUUAAUAGUUCACAGAAGGAGCCUACUGGGAAAGUGGAAAUCAAAAAAGAAAGGGGCAAAACACCUGUCUUGCAGAGUUCUCGGACAACAAGCGUCAGUUCUGUGAACGCCAGUGUAACCACCAUCAAAACCUUUGAAGAACAUCCUUCUGGGAGCCAAAGCCACGAAGCCUCUAAUAAUUCAGAUUCUGGCCAUGAAGGCCAAGAGAUUUCUUCAAAGGAAAAUGUAACAUCAAGUGCUGCCUGUGCUGAUCACAACCCAAUGCCUAAAGAUGAUGGGAGAUCACAUGAACUAUCUAAUCUUCGACUGGAGAAUCAACUGCUGAGGAAUGAGGUUCAGUCUUUAAAUCAAGAAAUGGCCUCAUUACUUCAAAGAUCCAAGGAAACUCAAGAGGAAUUAAACAAAGCAAGAGCAAGAGUUGAAAAAUGGAAUGUUGACCAUUCAAAGAGUGAUCGAAUAACUCGAGAACUUCGAGCACAAGUAGAUGACCUGACUGAAGCGGUGGCUGCAAAGGAUUCCCAGCUGGCUGUACUGAAAGUGAGACUGCAAGAAGCUGACCAGCUGCUGAAUACUCGCACAGAAGCACUGGAAGCCUUACAGAGUGAAAAAUCACGAAUAAUGCAGGAUCACAGCGAAGGUAGUAGCCUGCAGAAUCAAGCUCUACAAACUCUUCAGGAGAGAUUGCACGAAGCAGAUGCCACUCUGAAGAGAGAGCAGGAGAGCUAUAAACAAAUGCAGAGCGAGUUUUCUGCACGCCUUAAUAAAAUGGGAGCGGAGCGCCAGAAUUUGGCAGAAGCAGUUACCCUGGCGGAAAGAAAAUACUCAGAUGAGAAGAAGAGAGCGGAUGAACUACAGCAGCAAAUCAAAAUGCUUAAGUCCAACUUGGAGUCCUCUAAGCAGGAAUUAAUUGACUACAAGCAAAAAGCUACUAGAAUACUCCAGUCUAAAGAAAAAUUGAUUAACAGCUUAAAGGAAGGAUCUGGUUUUGAAGGCCUAGAUAGCAGUACUGCAAGUAGCGUGGAACUAGAAGAACUUCGGCAUGAGAAGGAGAUGCACAGGGAGGAAAUACAGAAACUGAUGGGUCAGAUACAUCAGCUGAGAUCUGAAUUACAGGAUAUGGAGGCUCAGCAGGUUAGUGAAGCAGAAUCAGCAAGAGAACAAUUACAGGAUCUGCAAGACCAAAUAGCUGGACAAAAAGCAGCUAAACAGGAACUAGAGGCAGAAUUGGACCGACAGAAGCAGGAAUUCCACUACAUGGAAGAAGAUCUGUAUCGAACAAAGAACACAUUGCAAAGCAGAAUUAAAGAUCGAGAAGAUGAAAUUCAAAAACUCAGGAAUCAGCUUACGAAUAAAACUUUAAGCAAUAGCAGUCAGUCUGAGUUAGAAAAUCGACUCCAUCAGCUGACAGAGACUCUCAUCCAGAAGCAGACCAUGCUGGAGAGUCUCAGCACAGAGAAGAACUCUCUGGUCUUCCAGCUGGAACGCCUUGAGCAGCAAAUGAACUCUGCCACUGGAAGCAGUAGUAAUGGGUCUUCUAUUAACAUGUCUGGAGUUGACAGUGGCGAAGGCACACGUCUGCGAAACGUUCCUGUUCUUUUUAAUGACACAGAAACUAAUCUGGCAGGAAUGUAUGGAAAAGUCCGCAAAGCUGCUAGUUCAAUCGACCAAUUUAGCAUCCGUCUGGGAAUUUUUCUCCGAAGAUACCCCAUAGCACGAGUUUUUGUAAUUAUAUAUAUGGCUUUGCUUCACCUCUGGGUCAUGAUUGUUCUGUUGACUUACACACCAGAAAUGCACCAUGACCAACCACACGGCAAAUGAACUGAGCCUGGUUGUUUUGGUGGUUGGUCGUCUCUCUCCAGUUUUGGGGUCUGCACAAGGGUCACUUGCCUGAAAUUCCUGAGGAGGGUACACAGGAUUAUUUUAUCACUACAAGCUUUUAACUUUUUAAGUUAUUAUACAAGUACUCUGCUACUGAAAUCUUCCUCUGAUUUCCUUCAAAUGGGUCCUUAAAAGAUGGAAGAAGAAAGCAGCAGAGUCAGAGAUGUCAUGACAGCAGAAGUCAGAAUGAUUGAAUUGCUGGCUUUGAAGAUGGAGGAGGGGCCGUGAGCCAAGGAAUGCAGGCAGCCUCUAGAAGCUGGAGAAGGCCAGGAAGCAGAUUCUCCCCUAGAGCCUCCGCAAAGGAAUACAGCCCUGCCAAGACUUUGAUUUGAACCCAGUGAGACCCACUUCAGACUUCUGACCUCCACGACUUUCUCCUGUGUCAGCUUGACUCUCAGGUAGCUACUCCCCAAACAAAGAUGACCACACUGCUUCAGUUCACAUCCUCUCAACCUGACAACCUCAGUGAAAAAGAGUACCACCUCUUCCCCACGGGUCCAGCAAGAGCCCAGGGGGUGAUGUCCAUUGGCUCUGGUUGGACUAACUGAAGACAUAUGCCCACCAAUCCCUGGAGACAGGUGGAUGUAGAUGGCCCCCACAUCCAAACCCCAUGAACCAAAAGAGAGAGGUGGUUGAGAAUCUGCCUGCCAAUGCAGGGGACACGGGUUCGAGCCCUGGUCUGGGAAGAUCCCACGUGCCGCGGAGCAACUGGGCCCAUGAGCCACAACUACUGAGCCUGCGCGUCUGGAGCCUCUGCUCCACAGCAAGAGAGGCCGCGAUAGUGAGAGGCCCGCGCACCCCGAUGAAGAGCGGCCCCCGCUCGCCGCAACUAGAGAAAGCCCUCGCACAGCAACGAAGACCCAACA